CGCGUGAGCAAUCUGCCUUUAAGAGGGGGAUAACAGUCGGAAACGGCUGCUAAUACCGCAUAAAGCAAUGAAUUCGCAUGUUUUCAUUGCCAAAGGAGCAAUCCGCUUUUAGAUGAGCUCGCGUCUGAUUAGCUAGUUGGCGGGGUAACGGCCCACCAAGGCGACGAUCAGUAGCCGGACUGAGAGGUUGAACGGCCACAUUGGGACUGAGACACGGCCCAG
rnacentral:rRNA from 1 species